rnacentral:rRNA from 1 species
GAUGAACGCUGGCGGUAUGCCUAACACAUGCAAGUCGUACGAGAGUUUUUAACUCUAGUGGCGGACGGGUGAGUAACACGUGAGAAUUUGCCUUUAGGAGGGGGAUAACAAUUGGAAACGAAUGCUAAUACCCCAUAUGCUUUUGAGUGAAAUGGAUUUUAUCCGCCUAGAGAGAAGCUCGCGGCUGAUUAGCUUGUUGGUAAGGUAAGAGCUUACCAAGGCGACGAUCAGUAUCUGGUUUGAGAGGACGAUCAGACACACUGGAACUGAGACACGGUCCAGACUCCUACGGGAGGCAGCAGUGGGGAAUUUUCCGCAAUGGGCGAAAGCCUGACGGGAGCAAUACCGCGUGAGGGAAGAAUGCCUAUGGGUUGUAAACCUUCUUUUUCAGGGAGGAAUAAAUGACGUGUACUGAAGAAUAAGCAAUCGGCUAACUCCGUGCCAGCAGCCGACGGUAAUGUGACUACUG